rnacentral:rRNA from 1 species
UACAGAGGUCCCAAGCGUUGUUCGGAUUCACUGGGCGUAAAGGGUGCGCAGGUGGGUUGGCAAGUUUGAUGUGAAAGCCCCGGGCUUAACCCGGGAAUGGCAUUGAAUACUGCUGAUCUGGAGGAUUGGAGGGGGGACUGGAAUUCUUGGUGUAGCAGUGAAAUGCGUAGAUAUCAAGAGGAACACCAGUGGCGAAGGCGAGUCCCUGGACAAUACCUGACACUGAGGCACGAAAGCUAGGGGAGCAAACAGG